UAUCCGUCAGUCCCCCGCGCGCCGAAGUCUUCCACUCUGACGAGGCGGAGGAGUGAGCAGUUGAAUUUUCAAUGUAUACCUGUCUCUCCGGAACAAGAAUCAGGCAGAAAUCCUCGUGUUAGACACGGCGAAGAAAAUAUAGAAAAAGGCAUUGCCCCCUAUUGAUUCCUGUGCAAUUACAGGCACAUCCCACUGGUGUCAGCUGUUGACCGCAUAAUGUUCAGCAGCUUCUGUCAGUCCUCAGGUACAGGAGCCAUCCGUGUCCAAAGUCAGCAAGAUGAUAUUCCCAGGUUUGGGCUGACAAGUGGCAUUCACAGCACACGCACGUCAGGCCAUGAACAUCUCUGAACGGACAGAAUCAAACUGUCGACCUCCGGAGUUCAAAAGCUUCACCGUCACUGAACCAACCCCAGCCCCGUCACUGUCCCGGAGUUACCGUUGAUCCGAAGCUGAGGUGAACUCUGCUGUCCAUAUAAAUACAGUGGCUACAAAGGCAGACUCGUGAGCAUAUCACAGAGUGGAGCUGGGGGAACGCAGCAGAUCCGGCAACAUCAGGGGAGCAGGAAAGCUGACGUUUCGGCUCUGCGGGACCCCUCUUCAGAAAUCAAAGGCGACAGGUUUGAACUGAUCUCAGAAACCGAGGAGGGCGGCCCGGCGGUUAACUCUGCUGCCUUAGGAUCAAGGACCUUGGCUCGGUCACGGCCUCGCGUGACCGUCCGUGCGGUUUGAAGUUUGUCGGCCGGGCUGCGGAUGAGGUCGUUGAUUUGCUCGCCGAGCUGGCUUGUCUUACAUUCGGCCGCUUCAUCGCCAUGCCAGGUAAGGUCCUCAGCGAGGCCUCCGAUGAAGCGCUCUUGCUUUGCUCCGCUCGGAAUUCACGCUGACCGGUCCGUCGCGGUGUCUAUGAGGCAUUUGCACAUUCUCCCGUGUCUCUGCAGGCUACCGCCAGGUGACCUGUUGUUUUUCACCCUACGGUCCAAAGAUUGGGGGAUUGGCCAUUGUACCUAGGGACAUGUAGGCGAGGUGGAUGCCUAUGCGGGGAGAGUGCAAUGUGGCACGAUCGACUCGCUUAAUUGGUCUCUGGUUACGCUGCAAGGAUUCUUGCCCAGGCAUCACAUUUCAUCGAGGUGGUGUCCCAGGCGUGAGCGGAGUUGUUCGAAUAUGUCCAAGAGGGUUUGCUGGAGGCAGAUCGAAUUGUAGCUUUCGUAAGAGAGGUGGGUAAUGAUCUGAAAGAGAGGGCAUUUGCUGCAGGGCGAGCGGGAGAUGGAGUAGGGGGAGAAA